GCUAGCCACAUAUACACAAAAAUGUACAUACAUUUGUGCACUGUAAAAUUAUACAAGAAGAAACAUCAGACACAAAAAUGAAAAGAACGCAAGCUUCAUAAGCAGACUAAGCAACAAACAAGUGGAAAAUAUAAAUUAGUCUUCCCGCAGUGGUUACAAUCACAAGUACUCGACCACACAUGCAUGCAUACAGAAUAUACUCUUAUGCGUAUGUAUAUAUGCCACAUGGCAUAAUGGCAGCAAGAGCAGCGCGCACCGUUAACUAACAAGCUCACCAAUUGGGUCCUGAUCGUUUUGGAAGACUGUCGCAUAAAAAUCCAAAACUAUAGGAAAUGUUUGCACAUACAUAAGGCAAUAAGAUUGGCAGUGACUGGACCACACAACGCAUUGAUUAUUUGAAUAUCAUUUGACUAAAAGUGCCCAUUGCAAGAUUAAAUGGAAUUAAAAAAAA